GAGAAGUACCCUACACCUGCAAAGUGCAAGAUGGCUCAGGAAGCAGCACUGUGCUCCUGCCCUGUGAUCCUCCACCUGCCUGAUGGGACCAUGCAGGGAACAGCUGGGAAGAAAAUAACACCCAGAGUUGGAUCAGAACUGAGAGGAGUAAGAAGCCAGGAAAGGAAAUCCCUCUCAGGGUGACAGCUCAGCAAAUGCUUGUUCCCCUGCAGGGACACAUCCAGCACAGGGACAGCUGGCACCCCCCAGGGAAGGAAUUCAAGGCUGCUAAAUAAAUAGGGAUUGC